CAGUAGCCGCGGUAAUACGAAGGGGGCUAGCGUUGCUCGGAAUUACUGGGCGUAAAGGGCGCGUAGGCGGACAGUUCAGUCGGGGGUGAAAGCCCGGAGCUCAACCUCGGAAUUGCCUUCGAUACUGGCUGUCUUGAGUAUGAGAGAGGUGUGUGGAACUCCGAGUGUAGAGGUGAAAUUCGUAGAUAUUCGGAAGAACACCAGUGGCGAAGGCGACACACUGGCUCAUUACUGACGCUGAGGCUCGAAAGCGUGGGGAGCAAACAGGAUUAGAUACCCCAGUAGUCCCUGUCUCUUAUAC
rnacentral:rRNA from 1 species